rnacentral:rRNA from 1 species
CCUACGGGUGGCAGCAGUCGAGAAUCAUUCACAAUGGGGGAAACCCUGAUGGUGCGACGCCGCGUGGGGGAAUGAAGGUCUUCGGAUUGUAAACCCCUGUCAUGUGGGAGCAAAUUAAAAAGAUAGUACCACAAGAGGAAGAGACGGCUAACUCUGUGCCAGCAGCCGCGGUAAUACAGAGGUCUCAAGCGUUGUUCGGACUCACUGGGCGUAAGGCGUGCGUAGGCUGUUUCGUAAGUCGUGUGUGAAAGGCGCGGGCUCAACCCGCGGACGGCACAUGAUACUGCGAGACUAGAGUAAUGGAGGGGGAACCGGAAUUCGCGGUGUAGCAGUGAAAUGCGUAGAUAGCGAGAGGAACACUCGUGGCGAAGGCGGGUUCCUGGACAUUAACUGACGCUGAGGCACGAAGGCCAGGGGAGCGAAAGGGAUUAGAUACCCUGGUAGUC